GGGUUUGUUGUUUUUUCUAAAAUCGAACACUAAAUUACCGUAAUCUCUUCAUUAAUUUCGCCGAAUAAAAUAUAGCUUUUCGAGGCCAUUAAGCGCAGCCCUCUUGAUUGGAAAUAGUAGCCUUGCGAUGUCCUGAUUAAGCCAAGGACUCGUAUAUCCAGUCACAUAAUGUCCAGAUACCGCUUCUAAAACUCGACGAGUGGCUAUAGUCGGCGUCAUUUUAUUGGCCCUCGGGGGUGACAAAUGAAGAUCGGGUCAUGACAUUAACUACCCGAUGUCUCACUAUUUUUACACGCUCGGGCUUUUAUUUAAGCCUUUUUGACACCAGGGGCAAAAGCUCCUCCAAAAAGUUUUAUUGCACUUUCCUGCAAAUUUGGGACAAAUACUUACUCCAAAAACCUUGUUUAUUAUUGCCAAACAAAUGCUCGAAAUAAAUCAAUAGAGGUGUAUUAUCUCUAAAAUAACCUUCAAAGUUUUGCAAUAAUUGUAAACACUGGCCAUGUACAAUGAUACAAAAUUGUUUGUUUAUUUUUGUAUUAAAAUCUUAAACUGCUACACAAUACGUUCUACGAAAGAGUUUUUAUACUAUUUUAUUGGUUGUUUGUUCAGGGCCUUUUAAAAAUUAAAUUAAUAAAAAGUUAAGUCUACUAAAAGGUACAGUCCGGGACAUUUCUAUUUGGACAUAAAAAAUUUGAAUUUUCUGACAUUUAUACGUAUAUUCAGCGUCUAUGUGAACAAAAAAUGUUCUCUCUCUCAUUCUAUGGUCCUUUAGCUUUAAUAACAGGGACAUUUUUUAAAUUGGUAGCAUUAGAAAAUGACAGUAAACAGCUGACUGAUGUAAACAAUAACACAAUAACAAAGGAAAUGUUAUAAUUUUAAUCUAUAUAACCAGUGGCUGCUUUAAAAGUGUGUACUAACGGGAUAAUAAAAUAUUUACGCAAGUAUUUUUGAAGGUAGAAACAUUACUUGUCAUAUAACAAUUAUAGAUUAUAUGAUGAGACGGGAAUGGCACAACACAGAAUUGCAGUCAGUGAUUGUGCUGGAGAAAGCUGCUGCGACGUACUGACAGUACUGACUGUCGCUGGUUGUAUGAUUUGCGCAAUUUGUGAUAUAUUUUGUGUGAAAAACUGGAAAACAAAGUGCAUACCUGCAUAACCUCACUUAUCGCAGUUUUGCACAUUUUGAUGAUGGGAAUUGCGGUUCAAGUAAUUAUGAGUUAUAGAUGGAGCUCACUGUUUACUUCAAACUGAAGCCUUUUGGGUCCACUUUUUUCGUUGUUAUUUCCUGGUAGCGACUCUUGUUUCAAGCAGAAUGGGUGUACAGUUAAAAAUAAUCCCAUAAAAUUGUUAAUAUAACUCCGUUGCACUGGCAUGGGGUAUUUGAAAACUUACGUUUAACAAAUACGUCACAAAGUCUCAGCCAUCGUCGAAAAACAUAAUAAGGGCUUUAUAACAACAAGCGCUUUCUGAUUUUACUGUGGACGUGUGGAAGAAUAGUGUGAAAUAUUGCGAAAAACCAACUUUUACUCUUGUUUACAUUUUUGUACGUCUCUAUCUGGGAGUAGUCGUCUUUUAUAAAAAAUAUAGCCUACUAAUAAAGGAAAUUAAAGUGUU